GUGCGCGAGGGAGCACUCUCCCCUGUGCUCCCUCUUCAGCUCCCUCGCGCGUCACGUACUAAUACCGGAGCCGGAAUAUGACAUCAUCUUCCGGCUCCGGUAUCAGUGCGCGAGGGAGCUGAAGAGCGAGCACAGAGGGGAGAGUGCUCCAUCGCACGC